rnacentral:rRNA from 1 species
CCUGGUGGCUAAAGCGCGGUGGUCCCACCUGAUACCAUUCCGAACUCAGAAGUGAAAAGUCGUAGCGCCGAUGGUAGUUUGGGGCUUCCCCAUGCGAGAGUAGGAAACCGCCAGGC